CUUUUUUUUCAAGCCACAGCCAAGCUACCAGCUGAAACCCAUGCCACAGUCACAGCCAAGCUACCAGCCCCAGCCCCAGCCCAUGCCGUAGCCGCAGCUCGGCUACCAGCCCAGGCCUCAGUCUCAACCACAGUGUCUGCCAAUCCUGAAAUGUCCCCUUUCUGGGGAACCCGGCUGGCUUACAAGGCCCCACCGAGAAAGCGACGAGCCCGUCCACGUCCUGGCUCCCUGAAGUCAGGCCCUCAGUCGGCGGCCCGGUCGACACCUGCCAGUGGCCUUCAGUCGGCGGCCCGGUCGACACCUGCCAGUGGCCUUCAGUCGGCGGCCCGGUCGACACCUGCCAGUGGCCUUCAGUCGGCGGCCCGGUCGACACCUGCCAGUGGCCUUCAGUCGGCGGCCCGGUCGACACCUGCCAGUGGCCUUCAGUCGGCAGCCCGGUCGACACCUGCCAGUGGCCUUCAGUCGGCGGCCCGGUCGACACCUGCCAGUGGCCUUCAGUCGGCGGCCCGGUCGACACCUGCCAGUGGCCUUCAGUCGGCGGCCCGGUCGACGCCUGCCAGUGGUCUUCAGUCGGCGGCCCGGUCGACGCCUGCCAGUGGUCUUCAGUCGGCGGCCCGGUCGACGCCUGCCAGUGGCCUUCAGUCGGCGGCCCGGUCGACACCUGCCAGUGGCCUCCAGUCGGCGGACCUGAUGGCGCCUGUUCCUGCCUGUGGCCUUCAGUCGGCGGACCUGAUGGCGCCUGUUCCUGCCUGUGGCCUUCAGUCGGCGGACCUGAUGGCGCCUGUUCCUGCCUGUGGCCUUCAGUCGGCGGACCUGAUGGCGCCUGUCCCUGCUCCUCAGUCGGAGGCCCGGCCGAGGCCCGUCCCGGCACCUCGGUCGGAGGCCCGGCCGAGGCCCGUCCCGGCACCUCGGUCGGAGGCCCGGCCGAGGCCCGUCCCUGCACCUCGGUUGGUGGACCGGCCGAGGCCCAUGCCAAGUCCCGUCCCUGCUCCUCGGUCGGAGGACCGGCCGAGGCCCAUGCCAAGUCCCGUCCCUGCUCCUCGGUCGGAGGACCGGCCGAGGCCCGUCCCUGCUCCUCGGUCGGAGGACCGUCCGAGGCCCAUGUCAAGUCCUGUCCCUGCACCUCGGUUGGUGGACCGGCCGAGGCCCAUGCCAAGUCCCGUCCCUGCUCCUCGGUCGGAGGACCGGCCGAGGCCCAUGCCAAGUCCCGUCCCUGCUCCUCGGUCGGAGGACCGGCCGAGGCCCGUCCCUGCUCCUCGGUCGGAGGACCGUCCGAGGCCCAUGUCAAGUCCUGUCCCAGCACCUCGGUCGGAGGACCGGCCGAGGCCCGUCCCAGCACCUCGGUCGGAGGUUCGGCCGAGGCCCGUCCCUGCACCUCGGUCGGAGGUUCGGCCGAGGCCCGUUCCUGCACCUCGGUCGGAGGUCCGGCCGAGGCCCGUUCCUGCACCUCGGUCGGAGGACCGGCCGAGGCCCAUGCCAAGUUCAGACCCUGCACCUCGGUCGGAGGCCCAGCCGAGGCCCGUUCCUGCACCUCGGUCGGAGGCCCGGCCGAGGCCCAUGCCAAGUUCAGACCCUGCACCUCGGUCGGAGGCCCGGCCGAGGCCCGUUCCUGCACCUCGGUCGGAGGACCGGCCGAGGCCUGUCCCUGCUCCUCGGUCAGAGGCCCGGACGAGUCCCACGCCAAGUCCAGCGCCUGCACCUCGGUCGGAGGCCCGGCCGAGUCCCACGCCAAGUCCAGCGCCUGCUCCUCGGUCGGAGGCCCGGCCGAGUCCCACGCCAAGUCCAGCGCCUGCUCCUCGGUCGGAGGCCCGGCCGAGUCCCACGCCAAGUCCAGCGCCUGCUCCUCGGUCGGAGGCCCGGCCGAGUCCCACGCCAAGUCCAGCGCCUGCUCCUCGGUCGGAGGCCCGGCCGAGUCCCACGCCAAGUCCAGCGCCUGCUCCUCGGUCGGAGGCCCGGCCGAGUCCCACGCCAAGUCCAGCGCCUGCUCCUCGGUCGGAGGCCCGGCCGAGGCCAGUACCAAGUCCCGUGCCAAGUCCAGUGCCAGCUCCUUGGUCGGAGGCCAGGCCGAGGUCGUCUGCCGCCAGCGACCCUUUAUUGGCUCACAGGCCACCAGCUCCCUGCGAACCUCUGUUGGUGGUCCGGCCAAAGCCCAGGAGGGUUUCCCAGUCAGCGAUCCGGCCUCAAGAGGGCUUCAGCCUUCGCCUCCGCCGCCGGCCUCCAGUGGGUCCCAGCCCACGUCUUCGCCGCCGGCCUCCAGUGGGUCCCAGCCCACGUCUUCGCCACCGGCCUCCAGUGGGUCCCAGCCCACGUCUUCGCCGCCGGCCUCCAGUGGGUCCCAGCCCACGCCUUCGCCUUCGCCGCCGGCCUCCAGUGGGUGCCAGCCCACGCCUUCGCCUUCGCCGCCGGCCUCCAGUGGGUGCCAGCCCACGCCUUCGCCUUCGCCGCCGGCCUCCAGUGGGUGCCAGCCCACGCCUUCGCCUUCGCCGCCGGCCUCCAGUGGGUGCCAGCCCACGCCUUCGCCUUCGCCGCCGGCCUCCAGUGGGUGCCAGCCCACG
ensembl:lncRNA